AAAAAGAUAAGCUAAGUUAAGCUAAUGGGUUCAUACCUCAUUUAUAAAGAUAAAUCUUUUCUUUUUA
rnacentral:tRNA from 1 species